UACGUAGGGUGCAAGCGUUGUCCGGAAUUAUUGGGCGUAAAGAGCUCGUAGGCGGUUCGUCGCGUCGGCUGUGAAAUCCCGGAGCUCAACUCCGGGUCUGCAGUCGAUACGGGCGGACUCGAGUUCGGCAGGGGAGACUGGAAUUCCUGGUGUAGCGGUGAAAUGACGCAGAUAUCAGGAGGAACACCGGUGGCGAAGGCGGGUCUCUGGGCCGAUACUGACGCUGAGGAGCGAAAGCGUGGGGAGCGAACAGG
rnacentral:rRNA from 1 species